rnacentral:rRNA from 1 species
GACGAACGCUGGCGGCGUGCCUAAUACAUGCAAGUCGAGCGGAUCAACGAGGAGCUUGCUCCUCAGAGGUCAGCGGCGGACGGGUGAGUAACACGUGGGCAACCUGCCUGUAAGACUGGGAUAACUCCGGGAAACCGGGGCUAAUACCGGAUAACAUUCUCCUCUGCAUAGAGGGGAAUUAAAAGAUGGCUUCGGCUAUCACUUACAGAUGGGCCCGCGGCGCAUUAGCUAGUUGGUGAGGUAAGAGCUCACCAAGGCGACGAUGCGUAGCCGACCUGAGAGGGUGAUCGGCCACACUGGGACUGAGACACGGCCCAGACUCCUACGGGAGGCAGCAGUAGGGAAUCUUCGGCAAUGGACGAAAGUCUGACCGAGCAACGCCGCGUGAGUGAGGAAGGCCUUCGGGUCGUAAAGCUCUGUUGUUAGGGAAGAACAAGUACCGUUCGAACAGGGCGGUACCUUGACGGUACCUAACCAGAAAGCCACGGCUAACUACGUGCCAGCCGCCGCCGUAAAAC